GAUGAACGCUGGCGGCGUGCCUAAUACAUGCAAGUCGAGCGAACAGACGGGGAGCUUGCUCCUCUGACGUUAGCGGCGGACGGGUGAGUAACACGUGGAUAACCUACCUAUAAGACUGGGAUAACUUCGGGAAACCGGAGCUAAUACCGGAUAAUAUAUUGAACCGCAUGGUUCAAUAGUGAAAGACGGUUUUGCUGUCACUUAUAGAUGGAUCCGCGCCGCAUUAGCUAGUUGGUAAGGUAACGGCUUACCAAGGCGACGAUGCGUAGCCGACCUGAGAGGGUGAUCGGCCACACUGGAACUGAGACACGGUCCAGACUCCUAAGGGAGGCAGCAGUAGGGAAUCUUCCGCAAUGGGCGAAAGCCUGACGGAGCAACGCCGCGUGAGUGAUGAAGGUCUUCGGAUCGUAAAACUCUGUUAUUAGGGAAGAACAAAUGUGUAAGUAACUAUGCACGUCUUGACGGUACCUAAUCAGAAAGCCACGGCUAACUACGUG
rnacentral:rRNA from 1 species